AGGAGGACAGAGUGUGUAGGCAAGGAUGGAGCUCGCUGGCUGCUAGGAGUUGGGUACGUCGUCUCCUUCUUCUCCCUCUAUGGUUUCUCUGCACUCACGACAACGGCGUGGGGUGUUUGGCUCUCGGAGUCUCGGUGGCGCUUCGGCAAAUCUCUCAAUGCACUGCCCGGUGACUAACUCGUGGAGACUUGUAUAUGGCAUUGCGAAUGCAACGACAUGGGUCUAGUUUUAUACCCCCAAGCAGGAUUGUAACAGCCUGGUGAGUUUGUUACAACCAGAUGGAGUUUGAGGGGAUUACAUCCAUGUCUGUUACAAGGAAACAUAGUUUGUUAUGGCUCAUUUUCAGAUCAAAACGGCGUGGGGAAAGGGGGGUUGAGCCCGCCAUGGGACCCUACACGUAAUCGACCAAGAAUGCAUGUGUGGUGAAGCUCCGUAGGCGAGAUGGAAGAUGGUCGAUGCGGUGGGAAAUACCGAGCAAACCUUGGGCGUCUGUUCACGGCGAACUCCUCCAGAUUGCAUUGGAUCGCAACAAACCGGAUGAGAACGAUGUCGCGAGGAAGACGCCAUUGGGAAGGCCCUGUUGGUCAGGGGGACGUAGGGGGGUCAUGGUGCGCAUGCGCUGGUGUGGAGGCGAUCUGAGCUGUGCGGCUGUGUGGUUUUGGCCCAAGAGUUGUAGUGCUUUUUUAUCUUUUCUAAUUCAUGUUUUUCUUUUCUAUUUUGAAAUUUUAGUUCUCCAACAAAUUCAAAUUUCAAACUUUAAAGUAAAUGCACAAACAGAGGUCCAACAUGGGACGCAAAUAUUUUAAAUGUAUUUAUUAAUUAAUUUAUUAAUUUAUUAG
rnacentral:lncRNA from 1 species